rnacentral:rRNA from 1 species
GACGAAGGGGGCUAGCGUUGUUCGGAAUUACUGGGCGUAAAGGGCGCGUAGGCGGUUCUUUUAAGUCAGGCGUGAAAGCCCUGGGCUCAACCUGGGAGUGGCGCUUGAUACUGAGGAACUAGAGAGUGGGAGAGGUUGGUGGAAUUCCCAGUGUAGAGGUGAAAUUCGUAGAUAUUGGGAAGAACACCGGUGGCGAAGGCGGCCAACUGGACCAUUUCUGACGCUGAGGCGCGAAAGCGUGGGGAGCAAACAGG